UCGAGAAUUUUUCUCAAUGGGGGAAACCCUGAAGGAGCGACGCCGCGUGGAGGAUGAAGGUCUUCGGAUUGUAAACUCCUGUCAUGAGGGAGCAAAGCACAGCGUUAACUGCGUAUGUGUGUGAUAGUACCUCAAGAGGAAGGGACGGCUAACUCUGUGCCAGCAGCCGCGGUAAUACAGAGGUCCCGAGCGUUGUUCGGAUUCAUUGGGCGUAAAGGGUGCGUAGGCGGUUAGGUAAGUCAGAUGUGAAAUUCCGGGGCUCAACCGCGGAACUGCAUUUGAUACUGCUUGACUAGAGUACUGGAGAGGAGACUGGAAUUCACGGUGUAGCAGUGAAAUGCGUAGAUAUCGUGAGGAAGGCCAGUGGCGAAGGCGAGUCUCUGGACAGUUACUGACGCUGAGGCACGAAGGCUAGGGGAGCAAACGGG
rnacentral:rRNA from 1 species